UUGAAAAUCCUUGGCACAAAGUUAAGGAAUUGUAAUCUAGAGAGGCGCUCGGAGGGGAUUGGGCGAAGCAUAAGUUCCUUGGAACAGGACGUCAUAGAGGGUGAAAACCCCGUAGUCGGCUUCGUCUCGGAACCAACGAACGUUUUCAAAGAGUCGGGUUGUUUGGGAUUGCAGCCCUAAAUAGGAGAUAAACUUCUUCUAAAGCUAAAUAUUUAUGGGAAACCGAUAGCGAACAAGUACUGCGAAGGAAAGAUGAAAAGAACUUUGAAAAGAGGGUUAAAAGACUUGAAAUCGUUGAGAAGGAAGCGGUAGAAGAGGUAUCAUUUGUGUACGAUAUUGCGGUGGACUGGCCGGCUUGGCGUGCAUUUAGUACUUCAUAGGCUGUUGCACGCCACAGUAGCGGUAAGUUGCCGUUUAUUCGUAUGCAAGAGGCAGAAUGAUGUCGGGCUCCGGGAAUCGUCUUUUAGAACGCCCCUGCCUGCGGGCGGGAGUCUAGGAGAAAAACCGGGGCGCGGCAUGAGGGGCCUGCGGGCGAUUCUGUCAAAGUGGCUUUUACCGACCCGUCUUGAAACACGGACCAAGGAGUCUAUCACAUAUGCGAGUGUUAGGGUGGAAAAACCCGAACGCAUAAGGAAACUGAGGACAAGCUACUAACAGUAGCAGCCGAACCUGCGUCUCCGACAAAGGUAUCGAGCAAGAGCAUAUUUGAUAGGACCCGAAAGAUGGUGAACUUCGCUUGAGUAGGGUGAAGCCAGGGGAAACUCUGGUGAAAGCUCGAAGCGGUACU
rnacentral:rRNA from 1 species